rnacentral:sRNA from 1 species
AUGGCUGUCGUCAGCUCGUGUCGUGAGAUGUUGGGUUAAGUCCCGCAACGAGCGCAACCCUCGUUCUAUGUUGCCAGCGGGUUAUGCCGGGGACUCAUAGGAGACUGCCGGGGUCAACUCGGAGGAAGGUGGGGAUGACGUCAAAUCAUCAUGCCCCUUAUGUCUUGGGCUUCACGCAUGCUACAAUGGCCAGUACAAAGGGCUGCGAUGCCGUAAGGUGGAGCGAAUCCCAAAAAACUGGUCUCAGUUCGGAUUGGGGUCUGCAACUCGACCCCAUGAAGUCGGAGUCGCUAGUAAUCGCAGAUCAGCAACGCUGCGGUGAAUACGUUCCCGGGCCUUGUACACACCGCCCGUCACACCAUGGGAGUGAGCAACACCCGAAGCCGGUGGCCUAACCCUUUUGGGAAGGAGCCGUCGAAGGUGGGGCUCGCGACUGGGGUGAAGUCGUAACAAGGUAGCCGUAGCGGAAGCUGCGGCUGGAUCACCUCCUUUCUAGGGAGCCCUGUUCGCAGGGCACCGAACGCCGGCAGGAUCGUCGCCUUGAGUUCUUCGGAGCUCCGCGGCGCUCUCCUCAGCGCGUUCGGCCACUAGGAGUGUCGACCGGACCUGGCAGGUCGCAAGCGACGGGGCCUCGUGCCUCGAGCGAAGCGGCUCACAUGCUGUUGAGUUUUGAGAGACCGGCGCACCGCCGGCAGCUCGCUGGACUCUGUCCCGAGCCUUCGCGCGGCGCGCUAUGCCUCUUCGCGGACCUUGAAAACUGCACAGUAGCCAAUGACACGGGUAUCACCGGGUCGGAGCCGCAAGGCUUCUUCCCAGAUCACCGUCAAGAUAGUAAGGGCACAUGGUGGAUGCCUUGGCACCAAGAGUCGAAGAAGGGCGUGAACGGCUGCGAUAAGCCGCGGUGAGGCGCUGAAUAGCCAGUGACCCGCGGAUGCCCGAAUGGGGAAACCCGG